AGUAAAGUUUGAAACUCAGCAGAAUCCUUUGCUGUCUUGUUAGCACUACAAAACUGACUCAAGAUCCAAGUCUUUUAUAAGCAGUUUGACUAUCAUUCAAUAGGAUGCUGUUUAAUAGAAAUGGUGGAAUGAAUUUUCUGACUUAGAGAGAAGAGAGUUACUACAGGUGGAACCAAAUGCAUCAAUCUUUGGAACCCAUAUUGGAGCAGCCCAAUUUUAUCUUCAUUUAGUCAGCGCAAGGCCCCAUUGAUUGCCACUGAAAUUACUUUCAGCAUCUCUUGCCAUUGGCAAAGGCUCAAUGCCUUUUCUGGAUUUUGAGAGAGAUGGUGAAGGAGGAUCUUGCUGGAGGCUGUGGAAAGAAAACAUAUAAACAUAUUAAUCUUCAUAAUCCACAUUUCUCCAGGAGCAAAAUGGGAAUCUCCUUAAUUUUAUCCCAACAGCAACUUUUGGGAUGGACUGUAGAGAAUAAGGAAGAUUACCUUGACAGAAAUAUGCAAGAACUGUUACAUAAGCAAGGAGAGCUGAAACAUUCUUUAAGUCCCAAGAAGCAAGAUAGAAUUUGAAACAACUUGGACAGGCUCCUCUCUGAUUUUUCUGCAUAUAAGAAGAAAGGGAGCUAAAGCAUAAUCUGGCUUGCAAGAUUCUAAUAUUAUAGCCUGU